UGGGGAAUAUUGGACAAUGGGCGAAAGCCUGAUCCAGCCAUGCCGCGUGUGUGAAGAAGGCCUUCGGGUUGUAAAGUACUUUCAGCGGGGAGGAAGGUGUUGAGGUUAAUAACCUCAGCAAUUGACGUUACCCGCAGAAGAAGCACCGGCUAACUCCGUGCCAGCAGCCGCGGUAAUACGGAGGGUGCAAGCGUUAAUCGGAAUUACUGGGCGUAAAGCGCACGCAGGCGGUCUGUCAAGUCGGAUGUGAAAUCCCCGGGCUCAACCUGGGAACUGCAUUCGAAACUGGCAGGCUAGAGUCUUGUAGAGGGGGGUAGAAUUCCAGGUGUAGCGGUGAAAUGCGUAGAGAUCUGGAGGAAUACCGGUGGCGAAGGCGGCCCCCUGGACAAAGACUGACGCUCAGGUGCGAAAGCGUGGGGAGCAAACA
rnacentral:rRNA from 1 species